GUAAAAUUGUUCCGCAUCCCAGACAAAGUGAUGGCCACAACUGCAGACCACUCAUCUUAAAGAAAGCGUGGAGGACUACUGCAUAUAUUGCAACCUUAUCAACUGUGAAAAAGAAAGUGAGGAUUGUACGAUGGUCCAGUGUGAUUCUUGCAAGAGGUGGGCACAUAUACCCUGUAUUACAGAAGGAACCAAUCAAGAAAACCUGAUGAAUGAGAAGAAAGAGUACAACUGCAAGAAAUGUGCAUAGUUCUCUUCAUUACC